rnacentral:tRNA from 1 species
GGAGAUAUAGCUCAAUUGGUAGAAUGCUUGCCUUACAUGCACGAGGCCCUGGAUUCAAUCUCCAGCACCCCCA